rfam:Ornithorhynchus anatinus chromosome 4, whole genome shotgun sequence.
GAAUCAUAUCUGGAGAGAAGGUGAGCACUCCCCUUGAGAAGGAUGGAAGAAGUUCUAGUGGCCUAUACAACACUUAAAGGGUUAAGGCGUUGCCACCUACUUUGUGGCAUCUAACCAAGUUUUUUU